AGAGCUUAUUGUGACAUCGCUCUCGACUUAUGUCGGGAGAGGAAAGUCCCAACACCAUACGUAGGCAACCCUGUAACGCAGGGUGGAUCUCCUAACUUGCUGUUUGGCAGGAAAGGGCAAAGGAAAGGGCCACAGAGACGUAAACUCCCGGGAGGUGUCAGAAGAUUUGCUCGGAGGAUAUGAGAAGAUACUUAUGCUUUGCAUUUACGUGGGGAGGAAAUUAGUGCCGUUGUAUUUAUCUUCUUCCGUAAGUAUUUGUUAUCUUCUGGAUCUAUCUUCUGACACUUUCUGGAAAAGGUGAAACGUGGAGAUCUCUCUGACUAAGGUCGAGAGUACCUCCUGCUCAGUCCGACGAUGUCGAAGCGAGUGGUAACCCCUUGCCGGUGUAAGCUCCCUUGAUUCGUUAGGGGAGUGCUGGAUCCCCGAUAUAAUCGGGGCAAGAGAAAUGAUGUCUCACACAGAAUUGGGCUUAUACAAUAGGCUCUUCUU
rnacentral:RNase_P_RNA from 1 species